CCCAAAAUCAUUCAUUCUUUCAAUUGUCACCCCAAACUUGAAGGUUGCUAUUCCAUGAGCAACCCCAAACUUAAAAGUUUGCCAAGACACAAUUAGAAAUGCCGACCUAACUCCAAGUAAGGUGGGUAUAUUAUAUAUAUCAUUCAUUUUUUGUUUUUUUUUGUUUUUUUUUUUCUUUUGUAUUGUGGCUCAGUAACACAAGAAAAGGGUAUCAGGCUCAAAGGGGUUUAACAAAGGAUAAUCAUUAUUCACAGGGUGGUCAGAAAAGGCUCAGGGUACCAAACAACUUGCCUCAGUGUGUGUAUAAAUUACAAGUAAACUGUUAAGAACAAGUGCAAGUUCUGAAGAAAUAACAUAUGCUGGAAUGCUCUCAAACAAAAGAAUAAAAGUGUUUGGCUUCGAAUUCUCACCAGUUUAGGAUAUCUGAAAGGUGAAAAAUCAAAGUACCACCAAAAACCUUUGCAGUGUCAAAAUCCUCCAAAGCCAACCUAUGAAACUGCCGCAACAGAAAAAGGCAUCCAAUAU
rnacentral:lncRNA from 1 species